ACACGGAGGAUCCAAGCGUUAUCCGGAAUCAUUGGGUUUAAAGGGUCCGUAGGCGGCCUUAUAAGUCAGUGGUGAAAGUUUUCGGCUUAACCGAAAAAUUGCCAUUGAUACUGUAGGGCUUGAAUAAUUGUGAAGUAACUAGAAUAUGUAGUGUAGCGGUGAAAUGCAUAGAUAUUACAUGGAAUACCAAUUGCGCAGGCAGGUUACUAACAAUUUAUUGACGCUGAUGGACGAGAGCGUGGGUAGCGAACAGGAUUAGAUACCCUGGUAGUCCACGCCGUAAACGAUGGAUACUAGUUGUUCGGUUUUCGGACUGAGUGACUAAGCGAAAGUGAUAAGUAUCCCACCUGGGGAGUACGGUCGCAAGACUGAA
rnacentral:rRNA from 1 species